AGAGACGAUAACAUUGAGGCUGUGGAAUUGGGUAACUUGUUGGAGUCAUAUCGUGUCAACAGAGAGCAUCUAACUUGGUCUGUCCGACUCUAAACCCACAGCACUCAAGCAGAGCACGAUGCUGCUUUCCUGCAGAUAAAACCACAUCCUCAACACAAAGAAAAGGCGAAGACGCCGAGACUUUUGAGGGGAAGAGGACAGUUGUAGACCUCUUUUCCUCAAAUUAAUAACAACAGCAGACUUAGAAAAUAUCUCUUGAACUACAGACUAGGCCAGCAGUACAGCUGCAUGGUUCUGAGGAGCCCGGGAGGACUCCUGCUGUCCAGGCUGAAUCUUUCUACCCAUAAAAAUUCCCUC
rnacentral:lncRNA from 1 species